CCCCGGGUUGAUAACUAGAUGGUAUGUUCGGUCUUCAGUCCCAUACUGUCCUUUAAGUAUCCGGGAUAUUAAUUAUUCCAACGAGGGAAUGCUUCUUACACGGUUCUAAAUGCGUUUGACAUUUAUUAUUAAACAUCUAAGCCGUUUCUAACCGUUUACUUUCCCUCGACAUUU
rnacentral:snoRNA from 1 species